UGUGGGAGCGAGCCUGCUCGCGAUAGCGGUAGUUCGGUCAACAAUGAUGUGAGUAAUCGAUUGCCAUCGCGAGCAGGCUCGCUCCCACA
rnacentral:misc_RNA from 1 species